AAAAUGCGAAACGUGAUGCGAUUUGCAUGAAUCUGUGAGUCAUCUAAUUUUUGAACGCGAAUGGCACUGUUACGUAAGUAGCAGUAUGUCUGUUUGAGAAUCGCAAAACAAGAUCAACUCUAGUUGAGAGUUGGGAUUGACCUUAUGUGCCUUUGGGUACAUUUGGUUUAAAUAGAUCGAGUUGAUGAGCUUCCCAAUACGGCUCAAUGUGUGCUAGCGAGACAGUCGUCCCGAUCUCACAUUUCGGCCGUGUUGCAGAGUUCUGAGCACAAUUCGCUAAACUCAUAAAUCAAAUACGAUCUCAAAUCAGGCAAGAUUACCCGCUGAACUUAA
rnacentral:misc_RNA from 1 species